rnacentral:rRNA from 1 species
UUUCGGAGAGUUUGAUCCUGGCUCAGGACGAACGCUGGCGGCGUGCCUAAUACAUGCAAGUCGAGCGGACUGAUGGGAGCUUGCUCCCUGAAGUCAGCGGCGGACGGGUGAGUAACACGUGGGUAACCUGCCUGUAAGACUGGGAUAACUCCGGGAAACCGGGGCUAAUACCGGAUAGUUCUUUUCCUCGCAUGAGGAAAAGUGGAAAGGCGGCUUCGGCUGCCACUUACAGAUGGACCCGCGGCGCAUUAGCUAGUUGGUGAGGUAACGGCUCACCAAGGCAACGAUGCGUAGCCGACCUGAGAGGGUGAUCGGCCACACUGGGACUGAGACACGGCCCAGACUCCUACGGGAGGCAGCAGUAGGGAAUCUUCCGCAAUGGACGAAAGUCUGACGGAGCAACGCCGCGUGAGUGAUGAAGGUUUUCGGAUCGUAGCUCUGUUGUUAGGGAAGAACAAGUGCCGUUCGAAUAGGGCGGCAC